CACCAUCACCUUUACUACGGAUCGUCCGGCACGUACCUGCCGGUGAAGGGAACCUGU
rfam:Amycolatopsis halophila YIM 93223 genomic scaffold AmyhaDRAFT_Scaffold1.1, whole genome shotgun sequence.